UACAUCCUCUCAGCCAUCAGCAGGAAUGUUGUCAUAGCAACCCCCACCCCUCCUUUGAACGUCAGAGCCAGGAGCUGGAGGAUGAAGCUGCAUGCAGCUUCAGUCUCUUGUGCUUCUCAGAGAGCACCUGUGAUUUUUUUGCCGUCUCACGUGCAACAGUAGAAGCUGCAGCGCUGCACUGGAUCUGGAAAUAAUCUAAUGACUGAUUUGACUCACUGCUGCUGCAUCAGACACAAAAAGACCAACUGAUUUAGCAGUUUAUACAGCAGCAUGUCGUGGUUGUUCUUGGACUGGUUCGUCCCUCUCUACCUGCUGGUAUCAGUUCUGGUGCUGGCAGGGUUCGGAGCGUGCCUGUACUUCCUAGAGCCCGGGCUGCAGGAUGCCCACAAGUGGAGCAACAAAACAGUCCGACAUCACCCGCUGGUGGCCAGUGUGAACUGCAGAGAUGACGAUAGAAAUGCUCUGAUAUGAUCAAGGGUGGUGGAGCGGGCGGCCGGCCAUCUGGACAGGGGUGCUGCCAGGACAUGGGAGUGAUGGGAGCCUACACCUUCAUGAUGGAGGAAGACAAUGGAUGAGAGAGGAGGAAGAAAUGUUUUCUGAUGAUGCAAACCUUGUCCUAUUAUUCCAACUUUUCUUUGAUCUCUUGUAAACUGCAGAUUUUCUGCUGUAGAGAUCAGGGAAAAGUAAACAAAGAGGGUUUUAAAGAGAUUUUUCCAAUUAAACCAAAUGCACAAGGAGGAGGAAGACUACAUGCAGAAAGAGAUUGUGAGGUGUAUGGAGGACAUGUUGCCCUUUAGAAAUAUGUACCACAAGUUUAAUACAUGUUGUAAAUUUCAUGCCAUCUUAUACUUGUGCCAACUUUUGCAUACGUUUUGUAAUCUGACUUUAUCACUAUAAUCACUUUACAUUUAUCAUGAUGUUUACUUAUAUCGUGCAUUUAAUUAGUGAAGUGAAUGAUAUGAAUGUAGUGGAUGUGGGAGGGUCCUCUUUCUGGUGAUGAGGGUAUGGCAGCUGCUGAGGAGCAUGUGGGUUGAUAGUGCCACUGUGCCAAAAUGGUGUAGUUAGUAGUGACUUUGUUUAAAUGAUGUGCCAAAUAAAUUCAUUUAUUCAAGGUGCCAAUUAUCUUAGACGGACCAAGAUUACAGAAAAUAGUAUUUGGUAUUGCUCAAAGUGUAUAUUUUCUGUUUUCAUUGUUUUUACUUUGCUACAGCGUGGUGAGGAAAAUUGUGGGUGUGUAACAAUCCUCUUUUGAUGAACAUAUGCUUCCUUUAUUCAUACAAAAAUAAAACUGUGCAAUCCUUAA